AGUGGGGUAGCUGGGUCAAAUGGUGGUUUCAUUACAGGUUUUCCAAGGAAUCUCCAUAAUGCUUUCCAGAGUGGCUGCACCAAUUUGCAGUCCCACCAGCAAU
rnacentral:pre_miRNA from 1 species